rnacentral:tRNA from 1 species
UCCUCAGUAGCAUAGUGGUUAGUGCACAGCCUGAGAUAGGUUGAGAUGCGAGUUCGAAUCCCGCCUGAGAUG